rnacentral:rRNA from 1 species
AUUGAACGCUGGCGGCAGGCCUAACACAUACAAGUCGGACGGUAGCACAGAGGAGCUUGCUCCUCGGGUGACGAGUGGCGGACGGGUGAGUAAUGUCUGGGGAUCUGCCCGAUAGAGGGGGAUAACCACUGGAAACGGUGGCUAAUACCGCAUAACGUCGCAAGACCAAAGAGGGGGGACCUUUGGGCCUCUCACUAUCGGAUGAACCCGGAUGGGAUUAGCUAGUAGGCGGGGUAAUGGCCCACCUAGGCGACGAUCCCUAGCUGGUCUGAGAGGAUGACCAGCCACACUGGAACUGAGACACGGUCCAGACUCCUACGGGAGGCAGCAGUGGGGAAUAUUGCACAAUGGGCGCAAGCCUGAUGCAGCCAUGCCGCGUGUAUGAAGAGGGCCUUCGGGUUGUAAAGUACUUUCAGCGGGGAGGAAGGCGAUAAGGUUAAUAACCUUGUCGAUUGACGUUACCCGCAGAAGAAGCACCGGCUAACUCCGUGCCAGCAGCCGCCGUAA